AACCAUGUGGUAUCCCAGAUAAGUUCAGAAUGGAUUUACAGCUAGUAUCAUUAGAAAUUACAAGAGGAAAAGGUUUUUCAGAAUGUGAUUCGAUAAACUCAGUUUUUCAUAGAUACUGCAAAAACUAUUUUCAUCAUCAUAUUGUAUUGGGUAAGUGUGUGUGCUUUUCCAUUCCUAUAUAUACAAUGUACAGGAAAGGAUACUGGGAAUUGAGUCCAGUUUCUGAGAGCCACUCUGUACAAAGAAUGUAAAGCAAACAGGAAUUGCAAAUGGACUGAGAAAACAAAAGCAUUUUUAUCCAGUUAUGUCAUCCAGCCUUGAUAUUACUGAAUAUCCAGAAGAUUCCUUGAAAAUUGUAGGAAAAAGAAUAAGGGAACUGGACCAUUAGACUCAGAAGAAAUAAAGCUGAGCAGAUCUUGAUCAGAUUGGUUCGAGCAAAGCCAUGAAAAGUAUGAACA
rnacentral:lncRNA from 1 species